rnacentral:rRNA from 1 species
AUUGAACGCUGGCGGAAUGCUUUACACAUGCAAGUCGAACGGCAGCACGGGUGCUUGCACCUGGUGGCGAGUGGCGAACGGGUGAGUAAUGCGUCGGAACGUGCCGAGUAAUGGGGGAUAACGCAGCGAAAGUUGUGCUAAUACCGCAUACGCCCUGAGGGGGAAAGUGGGGGGAUCGCAAGACCUCACGUUAUUCGAGCGGCCGACGUCUGAUUAGCUAGUUGGUGGGGUAAAGGCCUACCAAGGCGACGAUCAGUAGCGGGUCUGAGAGGAUGAUCCGCCACACUGGGACUGAGACACGGCCCAGACUCCUACGGGAGGCAGCAGUGGGGAAUUUUGGACAAUGGGGGCAACCCUGAUCCAGCCAUUCCGCGUGAGUGAAGAAGGCCUGGUUGUAAGACUCUUCUAGCAGGAACGAAACGGUAGA